rnacentral:rRNA from 1 species
AGAGUUUGACCUGGCUCAGGAUGAACGCUGGCGGUCUGCUUAACACAUGCAAGUCGAACGGAACUUUUCGGAGUUCAGUGGCGGACGGGUGAGUAACGCGGAGAAUCUGCCUUCUGGCGGGGACAACCACUGGAAACGGUGGCUAAUACCGGAUGAGCCUACGGGUAAAAGAUUUAUUGCCAGAAGAGGAGCUCGCGUCUGAUUAGCUAGUUGGUGAGGUAAAGGCUCACCAAGGCAUCGAUCAGUAGCUGGUCUGAGAGGAUGCCAGCCACACUGGGACUGAGACACGGCCCAGACUCCUACGGGAGGCAGCAGUGGGGAAUUUUCCGCAAUGGGCGAAAGCCUGACGGAGCAAGACCGCGUGAGGGAGGAAGGCUCUUGGGUUGUAACCUCUUUUCUUGGGGAAGAAAAAAAUGACGGUACCCAAGGAAUCAGCAUCGGCUACUCCGUGCCAGCAGCCGCGGUAAUACGGAGGAUGCAAGCGUUAUCCGGAAUUAUUGGGCGUAAACGUCCGCAGGUGGCACUUCAAGUCUGUCGUCAAAGACCGGGGCUUAACCCUGGAAAGGCGAUGGAAACUGAAAGGCUAGAGAGAGGUAGGGGUAGAGGGAAUUCCCAGUGUAGCGGUGAAAUGCGUAGAGAUUGGGAAGAACAUCGGUGNNGAAAGCGCUCUACUGGACCUCAUCUGACACUCAGGGACGAAAGCUAGGGGAGCGAAUGGGAUUAGAUACCCUAGUAGUCC